CGUGCCACACAUCCGCCUGUUUACCGUCGCACCCAUUGGGUGCGAUGGUAGCCGUGCCACACAUCCGCCUGUUUACUGUCGCACCCAUUGGGUGCGAUGGUAGCCGUGCCGCACAUCCGCCUGUUUACCGUCGCACCCAUUGGGUGCGAUGGUAGCCGGACCGCACAUCCGCCUGUUUACCGUCGCACCCAUUGGGUGCGAUGGUAGCCGCGCCACACAUCCGCCUGUUUACCGUCGCACCCAUUGGGUGCGAUGGUAGCCGUACCGCACAUCCGCCUGUUUACCGUCGCACCCAUUGGGUGCGAUGGUAGCCGCGCCACACAUCCGCCUGUUUACCGUCGCACCCAUUGGGUGCGAUG
rnacentral:lncRNA from 1 species